AGCAAGUUCAAGUAUUGGCAUUACAAUGAAGAGCAAAUGUUUAGGGAAACAAACAGACGAGCAAUAUGAAGAGGAGCAGCAGGAGGAUCUGAACGCUGAUGACAAAAAGCUGAGAGAAGAGUGAACGGAAGAGUUGUCUCUCUGACCGAGUUGCAGCUUUUGAGUUUGUGUGGCACGGCGGGAGCAGUGUGAACUUCUCACCUGCGACCCAGCACCUG